rnacentral:lncRNA from 1 species
UGAUAAAGAUCAUUUAGUUACCUGGAAAUAUAUAAGUAAUUCAUUCAUUUAAAGACAAUUUCCCAUACAAAACAAAAGCACAAUUGUGUUCUUCUCUAAGGAGGGCAGGUUUCCCACAGUUUCCCAUUUGGUCCAUCUUACAACUUACGGAACCACUUUCAUUCAUUCAUACAAUACUAAUAUAAGUCCCAAGGAAAAGGAGCCCUCCUAUCACACUGGGUAGCACCUUAACCCAUGGCAUACUUCUGGGUCCAGCUCCGGGCAGUUGUCUCGUACUUGCUCCUGUCGGUCUUGUACAUGUGAGCUAUCUCUGGUACGAGAGGAUCAUCAGGAUUCGGGUCCGUCAACAGCGAACAGAUAGACAGCAAAACCUGAAUAUGAACCACAAAACUUGAACAAGUACACAGAAUAGCACUCUUUUUCUCCACUUCCUAGGCUCGUUUUGGAACUCAAACUGAAUGAGAUGAAUAAAUAACUCUAUAAAAACCAAACAAGUACAAUUAUAUAUAUAUAUAUAUAUAUAUAUAUAUAUACUUCAGAAAUAUUUACACCAAGUUUAAUGUUAUACUGAAUGUAAUUAACUGUGAAUAAAGCUUUAGAAGUUUAAAAAUUUUCCUUUGCCUUUUUCUCCUAGCACUUCUCAAGGAUUUUCUCAAGCUAAGCUGUUUGAGUAAUAGAAUAAUAACCUUGGAAAUAGUCAGAGCAGGGCUCCACUGUUCCUUCAGAAUAUCAAGGCAAAUGCUGCCAUUGCUGUUGAUAUUUGGGUGGAAAACCUUCGUCCUGAAAGCUACCUGAAAAAAAAACAAAAUACACCCAAACCAUAUAAAACCAGAGAAAUUAACCCUGCAUAAUGAAGAAAAUGAAAAAGUAGCAAAUAAAAUUAACCCUGAUAUAAGAAGGGUAUAUACUCUUCCAGUCUUCCUUGAAACCAGAUCAUGUAGCCACCGCAAAAAAAAUAUAGAUCAUUGUAAGCAAAAUGCUUACAAUAUGUACAAUACAUGGACAAGAGGAAGUUGUGGCCCUUGCGGGUGAUAAGAUUAGAAAAGACGUUGAUAAAGCAUGGUCACAAGCUAAGUCACCAAUCCGUGGAGCGAGUUCAUGAGAAAGAGCGUGAAAGCGUCAAUUUUAAGAAUACAUAAGACCUACUGCCUUGUGAAAACAUGUAUAAAAUAUUAAUUAUUUUAUAUUUCCUUAAGUAUAACUUAAGUAGGUAUAAACAACAGCAACUUGUGUAUUAUAUUUCAAUUAUGUUUGGAUUUCUACGGAAGUCGUUUUUAUGAAAGAUAACAAAUAAGAAAGAGUAGCAUAUAUACACAACAUCAAGUGUGGAGCACAUGCUUAGAUGUUCCAUAAUCCAUUCACUUGUACAAGGCCUGGGGCUGAAAUCAUUCCUACCCCCUUUGAAUUUAUUUUUUUCAGAGACACAGCUUAAUCUGCGUAGUAUAAUCUGACUGCCCACACACUUUACCAACCAAGUAUUGCACAACACAUGUACAACACAAGAAAACAAGUAAACAAACAAUAUAAUUAACAAAUAGUAGAAAUACAUGUGAAAGUUGUAGAUGGAGAAAAAAUAAAUGCCAACUUCCCAAAAGAUUAAUGUAACACCCAAGUCUCACAUCGAAAGAUAGGAGAAAAAUUUGUUUGUGUAUAAGAAAUUAAGUUGCUAUCAAUUGUAUCUUCAAAUCAUGACCUUUUGGAUGAACCCGUGGUAGGCUACAAUGACCCAAAAAAAUACUAUUGGAUCAAUGAUUUAAAGCCUUAUUUGAAUUGAUUUGAUUCAAUUCGGACUUGAAUUUGACCCGAUAUUUUAUGGAUUCGGGAUUUGAGUCGAGUUGUUUCAUAUGGUAUUAGAGCCGACUAUCGAAAGCUCGGGUCGGAUCAUCCGAUCGGGUUGCCGGGGGUGAGAACACGAAAGAUGGUGAUAUUAUGGAGAGAUGGAGGUCCGGAGGUGGGGACAUGAAGCCAGCCGGUAUUAUCCCACAAUGGCUAAAGAGACAAACCCCAAUCCCACAUCGAAAGAUAUGGAAACAAAUUGUUUGUGUAUAAGAAAUUAAGUUGCUACCAAUAGUACCUUCAAGUCGUGACAUUUUGGAUGAGUAUGUGGUGGGCUAAGAUGACUCAAGAAUAUACUAUUGGGCCAGUGGUUUAAAGCCUUAUUUUGAUGGAUUUGAUUCGAUUUGAACUUGGAUUUGACCCGAGAUUUGUUUCGGACUCGGGAUUUGACCCGAGUUAUUUCAUAUGGUAUCAGAGUCGACUCUCGAAAGGUCGUGUCGGGUCAUCCGAUCGGGUUGCCGGGGACACGAAGGCUGGUCGUACUAUCCCACAAUGGAGAUAUGGAAGUCCGGAGGUGGGGACACGAAGCCAACCGGUAUUAUCCCACAAUGGCUAGAGAGACAAUGAUCUUUGAGCCUUUUGUGUGAUCGAUUCUGACGGGGACGUCAGAAAUUUAAGUGGGGGAGUUUGUAACACCAUAGUCCCACAUCGAAAGAUAGGAGAAAAAAUUUGUCUGCAUAUAAGGAAAUAAGUUACUACCAAUAGUACCUUCAAGUCAUGAUCUUUUGGGUGAGCAUGUGGUGGGCAACGAUGACCUAAGAAGAUACUAUUAGGUCAGUGAUUUAAGGCCUUAUUUGGAUGGAUUUGAUUUAAUUCGGACAUGGAAUUUGACUCGAGAUUUGUUCCGGACUCGGGAUUUGACCCGGGUUGUUUCAAUUAAAGUGUUCAUCAUGGGUAUAUUAGUAUUUAUUCUACAAUAUUACAUAACCUCUUCUCACCCAAAGAUUGAUACCGUACACAUGAAAAUCACAUCACAUAAUAAGAUCACAGUAAAGGAUUUGUCUGUCAUUACUUAUCAAAAGACAUAAACUGAUUGUUUAGAGUUCUUGUACUAAAUUACAAAGGUAAUAUUAUGAAUGCUCAACAUAUUUGCAGCUCCAGCUACACUAUGGGUAGUAUUAACCUACUGGAGAUCUCUGAAAUGGUCAAAAAUUUAACAUUGGAGUCAACUCAGUACAAGGACAAAAACUCAGGUAAAGUCCUGCAGCCAAUCAGAAUUCCACAUAAUGCCCAGAAUGUUGAAUCACCAUGUAGAUAUAAGGGUGGGGGAGCAUUGGAAAGGGGUUUUAAACAAGAGAACAGAAAGGCCAAAUUUUACAUCUAUUCAUGUAGGAAAAAGUAUUGUCCCGCUGUGCAUCAUUGGAAGAAAAUAGGUGCCACCCAGUUCCACAACAAAUAUUUGAGAAUUUUUCAGUAACAGACUGGUAUUCUUUUCGCAUAUACAGCAUGCUCAGUUCUGACACGUGUUUCAAAUCACCUACUAGGCUACUACAAGUGUUCUUUGCUGUAUCGGCUAUAUUAUCAAAUCAGUUGAACCGGCUUCAAAAUUGCAUAUUGAAUCAAAGUGAUCAUUUCUCUAAAAAUUUGGAUCCAGUACCAAACCAAUGGACUAUACAACUGAACCAAGUAACACAUAAGAUUGGGUAUGUUCGGUCCUUCCACAGUCUGGUUCACAUUAGCACCCUUAAUUCAUGACUUGUUACCGUUGUCAAAACUAUACCAAAGUAGCACAUUUAUAUAAUAGGUGAAGAGAUUGGAACAUUUUAGGCCAGAGUUCUACCAAAAAUAAAACGAAUCAAUUCCUUUAAUGAAUAUUGAUCAAUAUAGAAUAGGCAAAAUCACGAGGGNNNNNNNNNNNNNNNNNNNNNNNNNNNNNNNNNNNNNNNNNNNNNNNNNNNNNNNNNNNNNNNNNNNNNNNNNNNNNNNNNNNNNNNNNNNNNNNNNNNNAAAACUCAGUAUUUGAGUGUAUGCUUGUACAGGCUACAGCCCUAAAUUCUAAAAGCGGAAGACUUCUCUAAUACCAGUAACAACUUAGGGUAUCAUAAAAGACAAUAAAAAUGGGAUAAAUCUUACUUUUGUGUUCAAUGCAAUAAAAAUAUUCACAGCGCAAGCCCAAGACAGGGUAACUAAGCACCAUAUGUUUAUAUCAAGGACAUUUCCCCAACAGGAAUUUCAGCUAAAUGAGUACCUUAGGUGGCUUGAAAGGAUAAUCUGGAGGAAAAUGAAUAGUUACAAGAAACACGCCGCCAGCAUAAGGGCUGUCAGGGGGUCCCAUAAUUGUUGCUUGCCAGUG